UACGAAGGGGGCUAGCGUUGCUCGGAAUGACUGGGCGUAAAGGGCGCGUAGGCGGCUUGCAUAGUCAGAUGUGAAAUUCCUGGGCUUAACCUGGGGGCUGCAUUUGAUACGUGUGGGCUUGAGUGCGGAAGAGGGUCGUGGAAUUCCCAGUGUAGCGGUGAAAUGCGCAGAUAUCGGGAAGAACACCUAUGGCGAAGGCAGCUCUCUGGGACGGUACUGACGCUGAGACGCGAAAGCGUGGGGAGCAAACAGG
rnacentral:rRNA from 1 species